rnacentral:rRNA from 1 species
UACGUAGGGUGCAAGCGUUGUCCGGAAUUAUUGGGCGUAAAGAGCUCGUAGGCGGUUUGUCGCGUCUGCUGUGAAAACUCAGGGCUUAACCCUGAGCCUGCAGUGGGUACGGGCAGACUAGAGUGUGGUAGGGGAGAUCGGAAUUCCUGGUGUAGCGGUGGAAUGCGCAGAUAUCAGGAGGAACACCGGUGGCGAAGGCGGAUCUCUGGGCCAUAACUGACGCUGAGAUACGAAAGCGUGGGUAGCAAACAGG